rnacentral:rRNA from 1 species
GAUGAACGCUGGCGGCGUGCCUAAUACAUGCAAGUCGAGCGAACGGACGAGAAGCUUGCUUCUCUGAUGUUAGCGGCGGACGGGUGAGCAACACGUGGAUAACCUACCUAUAAGACUGGGAUAACUUCGGGAAACCGGAGCUAAUACCGGAUAAUAUUUUGAACCGCAUGGUUCAAAAGUGAAAGACGGUCUUGCUGUCACUUCUAGAUGGAUCCGCGCUGCAUUAGCUAGUUGGUAAGGUAACGGCUUACCAAGGCAACGAUGCAUAGCCGACCUGAGAGGGUGAUCGGCCACACUGGAACUGAGACACGGUCCAGACUCCUACGGGAGGCAGCAGUAGGGAAUCUUCCGCAAUGGGCGAAAGCCUGACGGAGCAACGCCGCGUGAGUGAUGAAGGUCUUCGGAUCGUAAAACUCUGUUAUUAGGGAAGAACAGAUGUGUAAGUAACUGUGCACAUCUUGACGGUACCUAAUCAGAAAGCCACGGCUAACUACGUG